rnacentral:rRNA from 1 species
AUUGAACGCUGGCGGCAGGCCUAACACAUGCAAGUCGAACGGUAACAGGAAGAAGCUUGCUUCUUUGCUGACGAGUGGCGGACGGGUGAGUAAUGUCUGGGAAACUGCCUGAUGGAGGGGGAUAACUACUGGAAACGGUAGCUAAUACCGCAUAACGUCGCAAGACCAAAGAGGGGGACCUUCGGGCCUCUUGCCAUCGGAUGUGCCCAGAUGGGAUUAGCUAGUAGGUGGGGUAACGGCUCCCCUAGGCGACGAUCCCUAGCUGGUCUGAGAGGAUGACCAGCCACACUGGAACUGAGACACGGUCCAGACUCCUACGGGAGGCAGCAGUGGGGAAUAUUGCACAGUGGGCGCAAGCCUGAUGCAGCCAUGCCGCGUGUAUGAAGAAGGCCUUCGGGUUGUAAAGUACUUUCAGCGGGGAGGAAGGGAGUAAAGUUAAUACCUUUGCUCAUUGACGUUACCCGCAGAAGAAGCACCGGCUAACUCCGUG